CAGGAUUAGAUACCCUGGUAGUCCACGCCGUAAACGAUGAUCACUCGUUGUUGGCAAUACAUCGUCAGCGACUAAGCGAAAGUGAUAAGUGAUCCACCUGGGGAGUACGUUGGCAACAAUGAAACUCAAAGGAAUUGACGGGGGCCCGCACAAGCGGUGGAGCAUGUGGUUUAAUUCGAUGAUACGCGAGGAACCUUACCUGGGCUUGAAUGUGUAGUGCCGAUAUAUGAAAGUAUAUUUUUCUUCGGAACACUAUGCGAGGUGCUGCAUGGUUGUCGUCAGCUCGUGCCGUGAGGUGUCGGGUUAAGUCCCAUAACGAGCGCAACCCCUACUCUUAGUUACCAGCACGUAAUGGUGGGGACUCUAGGAGAACUGCCUACGCAAGUAGAGAGGAAGGUGGGGAUGACGUCAAAUCAGCACGGCCCUUACGUCCAGGGCUACACACGUGCUACAAUGGCAGGCACAGAGGGCAGCUACCUGGUGACAGGAUGCUAAUCCAUUAAAGCCGGUCUCAGUUCGGAUCGAAGUCUGCAACUCGACUUCGUGAAGCUGGAAUCGCUAGUAAUCGCGCAUCAGCCAUGGCGCGGUGAAUACGUUCCCGGGCCUUGUACACACCGCCCGUCAAGCCAUGGAAGCCGGG
rnacentral:rRNA from 1 species